UACGAAGGGUGCAAGCGUUGCUCGGAAUUAUUGGGCGUAAAGGGUAGGUAGGUGGUAAUAAAAGUCUGGGGUGAAAUCCCUGAGCUCAACUCAGGACGUGCCUUGGAAACUUUAUUACUAGAGUGCUGGAGAGGUUCGCAGAAUUCCCGGUGUAGCGGUGAAAUGCGUAGAGAUCGGGAGGAAUACCAGAGGCGAAGGCGGCGAACUGGACAGUAACUGACACUCAACUACGAAAGCGUGGGUAGCAAACAGG
rnacentral:rRNA from 1 species